ACCUAUAUAUAUAUAUAUAUAUAUAUAUAUAUUUUAGUGGCACGAGCAUCGAUUGACACUCUUGUAUCUUGCGCAGCACUUCCGGUUCACCUCCUGACACGACCGUGGAGGAAAUUCAAAAUAAAUCGAAAAAAAAAGGGAAUCAUACCGGCGCCGACGUCCCGUUGCCUUUAAGAACCGCCGGUGGUAAGACAAUGAAAUGUGCACUAUGUCACGUAUCGGAAAAACGAGAACAGCACAUCUGCUGGCAUUCAGUGGGAAGGGACUAACAUCUAACCACCUCUCCAGAGCAUAAAGGCAAAAAAGGGAGCGUAUGGGGCCGGCGAAACGUCAUGAAGCUGAAGAGACAUUCAAGAAACAUGGACAGUGGAAGAAGGACAUGCUACAGCCGCUUCUCGACCAAGCUCCCAAUCUUGAAUCUUCCGAGGUGGCCGACCUCCAUCACUCCUAAUGAAUAAAGAAACUAAGGUAAU